UCAGUUUUUAUACGACCGCAAAAAAAUUUUUGUGGUCGUAUAUUGGUAUGACGUUGGCGUCGUCGUCGUCGUCCGUCGUCGUCGUCCGAAGACACAUUGGUUUUCGCACUCUAACUUUAGUUUAAGUGAAUGGAUCUCUAUGAAAUUUUACCACAAGGUUCAAUACCACAAAAGGAAGGUUGGGAUUGAAUUUGGGGGUUAUGGUACCAACAGUAAAGGAAUUAGGGGCCAAAAAUAAGCAUUUUUGUAACUGCCAGACAUAACUUGUGUGUUAGUGUAUGGAUCUCUCUGACAUUGUACCACAUGGUUCCAUAUCACAAAAGGAAUGCUGGGAUUGAUUUUGGGGGUUAUGCCUCAAAAUUUUAGGAAUUAGGGGCCAAAAAAGGGGCCAAAAACAAGCAUUUUUCUAGUUUCAUGACCAUUACUUGUGUGUAAGUGUAUGGAUCUUUCUGAAAUUGUACUACAAGGUUCCAUAUCACAAAGGGAAAGCUGGAAUUGAGUUUGGGGGUAAUUGCCGAAACGUUUAGGAAUUGGGGGCCAAAAAGGGGCCAAAAAUAAGCAUUUUUCUAGUUUCCAGACAAUAACUUGUGUUCAAGUGUAUGGAUCUCUCUGAAAUUGUACUGCAAGGUACCAUGCCACAAAGGGGAGGCUGGGAUUGAUGAUGGGGGUAAUUUUAGGAAUUAGGGGCCAAAAAAGGGGCAAAAAACAAGCAUUUUUCUAGUUUCAUGACAAUAACUUGUGUGUAAGUGUAUGGAUCUUUCUGAAAUUGUACUACAAGGUUCCAUAUCACAAAGGGAAAGCUGGGUUUGAGUUUGGGGGUAAUUGCCCUAAACGUUUAGGAAUUAGGGGCCAAAAAGGG